rnacentral:rRNA from 1 species
GCAAGUCGAACGGAAAGGCCCUUCUGGGUACUCGAGUGGCGAACGGGUGAGUAACACGUGGGCAACCUGCACCUGCUCUGGGAUAACACCGGGAAACCGGUGCUAAUACCGGAUACACACUUUCUGAGGCAUCUCAGGUGGUGGAAAGUUUUUCGGCUAGGGAUGGGCCCGCGGCCUAUCAGCUUGUUGGUGGGGUAAUGGCCUACCAAGGCGACGACGGGUAGGCGGCCUGAGAGGGCGACC